UUCUGGCUCAGGAUGAACGCUGGCGGCGUGCCUAAUACAUGCAAGUCGAACGAGAGUGCUUGCACUCGAGUGGCGAACGGGUGAGUAACACGUAGGUAACCUGCCUUACAGUUUGGGAUACCCGAGGGAAACCUUGGCUAAUACCGAAUAAUUCUUUUGGAGGCAUCUCCAGAAGCUAAAAGGGCCUUUAAAGCCUCGCUGAAUGAUGGACCUGCGGCGCAUUAGUUAGUUGGUGAGAUAACAGCCCACCAAGGCGAGGAUGCGUAGCCGACCUAAGAGGGUGAACGGCCACACUGGAACUGAGACACGGUCCAGACUCCUACGGGAGGCAGCAGUAGGGAGUUUUCGGCAAUGGGGGAAACCCUGACCGAGCAACGCCGCGUGAACGAUAGAAGGUCUUCGGAUUGUAAAGUUCUGUUAUAAGGGAAGAAUGAUAGCUUGAGGAAAUGCUAGUUAUUUGACGGUACCUUAUUAGAAAGCCACGGCUAACUACGUGCCAGCAGCUGC
rnacentral:rRNA from 1 species